ensembl:lncRNA
GCAUUCUUUCAGACUCUAGCUUUUAGACUGAUGAUUUGCUAUGGGACAUGUGAGAAUUUCAGGUGUAUACAUUUAUACUUGUUAAAAAGCCAGAUAAGCCAAGUUGUACAAUAUAGACUACCAACAGAGGAUCCUGCUGGGCCUCUCUGUGUAUGUGGAUAAUGUUGUACAUCAAGUUGAAGGACAGCCUUGUUCCCAUGCAGACAUAGAAGGGCAGACUAUGUCUCCUGCUUGCCAUUUGCUUAAAAAUAAAUAACGUUAUACAGGUAUAAAUAAGAUAAUUUUAAAAAAUCUUUAUCAGUGGAGACCUAAUUCUUACCAAUACUACAACUGGGCCAGCUUUUAUACUUCCAGGUAUAAUUUUCUUAAUCCAGAGAUGCCUUUGCAAAAGGAGUUCUUCUUCAUUACAAACAUGAAGUUCUUGCAGGCAUUGUGUUUGUCCAGGAGCCUUUGUGUUUACCUAGGUAGAGCUCUUCUAACACCAUGGGCUGCUUUCUUCCUUUGAAUAAAAUAAAGAUCUCUAAAACAGUAGAAAUUCCAAAUGUUCUGUUCAAUUACCAAUGAAUUUGUAGACUGGAAAAAAUGUAGAAUGUAUCACUUUUCCAGACCCCUGCCUUGUUUCAUUUCCAGUAAGGGGAUACUUUGGGUAGAAGGAACAGCUUCUAGAGUCACACGGUGAAAACAUUUUAAGCCCCAAUUUCAUGGGGUAUUCACUUGCCUCCUGUGGAAAACACUACUUUGGCAGUCAGCUCUGCAAGGGAUACCUUGUUAAGAAUCACAGAAACCUUUAUUUCUCUCUAAAAUUUAGAGGAAAAUAGCACCCUCACUUUUUAAAUUCUCAUUGGCACAAUACUCUCCAUUCUUUUCAUUUUCUACCACCAUAAUUCAAAGUGGCUCUCCUGGCAUCAUCCCUCUCUUAAGCCAUAGUGGAUCCCUGUGGUCCCACAUCCUACUCUGCGAUAUACUGACUUGGAUUUUAUCCUUGAAUGCCUGAUUUUUCCACAAAAGAUCCUGUCAAUUUGGAUAUUGUUUACGUAACUUCUCAGAUAAAUUAUUGCACAGAGAAUACUUUCAGUUGUUUCCCCAUGAAGACUGAGUCUCAUAUAUGUCCUCUGUAGGAAUUUGAGAGGAGGUAGCCCUGUGAUGAAUCUUGAAACUCAUACAUGUGUGCACAUAUUCUUCUAGGUCUUGGAUGUAGUCUUUCCAUGCAAACUAUGUCCAUAACCAAGGAGUUAGUUUUUGCCUGCAAAUUAACUUAUUUACUUUAUUCAUCUUAUUUUAUUCCUGAUUGAAAAUAUUUUAUAGCUGCUGUAUUUUUUUUCCAAAUGAGGAGUCUUAUCAUACCAGUAAAAGCUAGUCAGCUUUGAGAACCCCCUUCAACUUCUUUUUCAGGAUUGUACAUCCAUUUAACAAAUUUAUGAGUGAAAUUUUGCUCUCAUGAAAAUAUGUUAUCUAAUACAAUGCCAUUCUUUCUCUACUUGCCCUCUUGAAGGAUAUUUUUCUUUUAAUGCUCCAGUGAGUUUCUCCCAUAUCAUGAAUGGUUAUAUUUGUACAAAUAUACAAAGAUAGAACAACAAAGCUUUGUAACUGCAGGCAAUACUUUAACUUGUCCAAACCACUUUGCCUUUAUUACUAUUUUUAUCCCCGAUAUGUAGAGGUUUCCCCCAGGCCUGUAGCCCUUUUGAAGGAAAACAAACCAUAUCACCUAGAUAUUGACAUAAACGUGAUUUUCAAACAUUAUUUCCAAAUAUUUUAGUUAAUGGAGGGGUUGUCAUUUUUCCCUUAAUGUGAGAGUUAUUUUUCCUGUAAAUUUCUGGAUCUCUCAGGGGCUGGGAGGGGGGAGUGAGGGGACAAUAACCAUAGCACUCCAAGAACCCUUUUGGAAGUACUCCCGUAAUCAAAAUACAAAAAUUAUUUUCUAAAUGUAGAUAUGUAAGCUGUUCUUUUAAAGUAAGGUACUUUGAAAUAUGUAGCAUAAACUGGUACUGCUGUCAAAUGGGUCGAUUAUUAAACUGAGCAGCUGUGUGAGGGCAGCUAACUUUGAAUUCACAUCUCACUGGCUGGGGUGUCCGCAUUUCAUAUCGUGAGCAACAGGGAUUGCAUUGUUGCAUGUUGAAACUGCAUUUUCACAUGCUUUGACUAGCAGUUCAUCUCUUUCUUGAGCAUCAUUAUGAGAUCAAUGUGCAAGACAAAUUGAAGCACCAAGUAAACACGUCACAUUAAAUAUUCUCUCAAACACUCAUCUUGUGCAUGCAUCAAAGAAGUUGGCUAAGCCUUUUGGGUGAGAAAGGGAGAAUCUUUACCCAAAAGGUGGAGUUGUGUUCACUUCCUUAUUUUCUUGUAAACAGAAAACAAGGCCUCUCUCUUGUGAAGUAUCUUCAAAGGAUAGGGGUACAAAAAUAACUUCCUGGUAAGCCAUCAAUGUUUCAUUUAAGUCCCAGCAUUCAAAGUUAGCUGCCUUUUUGAAAUAUACAAAAAAAAAAUACUACUGUAUGUUUGAAAAUGUGAAUAGUAUUUUUAUAGCUUGUUAAAGACAUGGCUAGUUGCAUUUGUAAAUAAGGAAAAUGUUGCUUUGAUUUCCUUUUGUGAACAUCUUUAUUUGGAAUAUAAUUGUCUCUAGGGUUGAUUUGUAUAUAAGUAAUUGGCUUGUGAUUGUUUCUUUUUGGUUGGAAGUUAUCAUUUUGACAUUACUUGUGAUUCUGUGUUUAGCACUAUUGUGACGUGUCCAACUUCUGCACUCGCUUACACAAUAGGAUAUGUCAAUUGUGUGUGGUGUAAUGUUAUUUUAUUUGUUUCUCUGUUUUAUCUGUGAAGGAUCAUGCACUUAACACAUACUAACUUUUUUAAUGUUAGGUAUAUUUUUAGUAUAAUUUCCUUUAUUCAUUCUUCUCUAAUCUUUCACCCCAUUCUCUUUCCUACCCCUGGUUUCUGUUGUUAUUUGAGAAUGAGGGAGAAACAAUAUUUUAAAUUUAUGUAAUUAGGCUCUUCAGUUAGUUCUCAAGGAUCCUAUUGGCUCUUGGGAAAUAAUUGUACCUGUACAAGGCAAUUAUAGAAUGCGAACUGCUUUGCCUCAUUCUGUACUGAUCAUCCCAGCUGAACAAUUUGAAAACUGUUCUGCCUUUUUGUUACAUGAAUCUGUCAGAAAUAUAUUUUUAAUUUAAUAUAAAU